rnacentral:rRNA from 1 species
GACGAACGCUGGCGGCGUGCUUAACACAUGCAAGUCGAACGGAAAGGCCCUGCUUGCAGGGUGCUCGAGUGGCGAACGGGUGAGUAACACGUGGGUGAUCUGCCCCUUACUUUGGGAUAAGCCUGGGAAACUGGGUCUAAUACUGGAUAGGACCAUGCUGUAGGUGGUGUGGUGGAAAGAUUAGUUUCGGUAAGGGAUGAGCUCGCGGCCUAUCAGCUUGUUGGUGGGGUAAUGGCCUACCAAGGCGUCGACGGGUAGCCGGCCUGAGAGGGUGGACGGCCACAUUGGGACUGAGAUACGGCCCAGACUCCUACAGGGGGCAGCAAUGGGGAAUAUUGCACAAUGGGGGCAAGCCUGAUGCAGCGACGCCGCGUGGGGGAUGACGGCCUUCGGGUUGUAAACUCCUUUCAGCCAUGACGAAGCCCUUGUGGUGACGGUAGUGGUAGAAGAAGCACCGGCUAACUACGU